CGCGAAGGUAGACGGAUCGGGAGAGCUCGCGCGUGAUUCCCGAUUUUUCCGAGUUGAUCAAAGUGUGCGUGAGGCAUGUUGCGUUAUAUUGAACGUGCAAUCGUGCUAGAAUUGUUUGAAACGUUAGCAGCAUCGAGUCGUGAGGAUCUGACGGUUACAGAUCUUGUGGCUACACGGUGAGUGCUGUUCUUGGAAGGUGCAAGUGGAUGUGCGUGCUGCACCAGAGGAUCGGGCCAAGCAGGAUUGGCUCGAAAAGUUAUUGCGAAACAUGGCUGAUCCUGAUCUCCAAGUAGUCGACAUUAAACCCUCUAAAUACGAAGAAGUCUGUUGUUUGUGCACCUUCGCAAGUACGCAGCCGACAAAUGCUCGCGAGAAGGAGCGUGUUAUUACGAGCGAACGGAUUUCACACGAGAUUUCAUCGUGCGCGAGGAGCAGAGAACGCGAGGCGAGUAAUCGCCACUCCUGUCGCUCAAGUUUAGAACUGAUACGUACAGAUCACAUCACCGUUACAAUGGACCUUAACACCCAUCAGUCAAUACGAAUGCACUCGUUCGUCCUUGAUAAACGGACGUGCACGCUUUAUGGGCCACCUGUUGCACGUACGCGCGUCUCCUCGUCGAACUUUUAGACUUGCAUCCGGAUGAAAGAAAAGGCGCAUCGGCUGGCGCCUGUUAAAUCGCUCGCAGAUGAACCUUUUUAUUUAGAAGAGUGUAAUCGGCUGAAUCGCGCGUUGCCCUGCGAGUGUGUCGGUGCUUCUCGGCUGUCUCGGUCAAGUCCCGCUCUAAAGUUCAACAACGUGAUUUGACGGGGUCUCGCGAAAAUUAAUUCCCAAGUCCCUCUCGCCUCCACGUGUAUUUAUGCAACUGCCGUUGUAAUUACGCAUAAUUACGCGUGCACCGGGAAGCACGUUCGGGGAAGGUGCGACACGGCACGGCAAAUAUCGCGAUUAUCGUCCCGCGGUUGUCGUCGUCGUCGUCGUCGUCGUCGUUGGAGACGGCGGCGGCGGCGGAGGUAGCGGCGACGACGACGACGGCGGCACCGUGCAGCAGCACCCGUGGAAACACCUUUAUCUGGUGGUCGAAACGGCCGUUUCCGGUAUCAGGGAGCGACGAAACUCACGGCCCGAACUCACCGGGGCACUCCGGCCGCCACAAAUCACUGGCAAUCUUGAUUUACUUGUGUUUGCCCAUUGGCUCGGUAUCACUUCUGCAGUAGUAAGUGUAAUAUACUCGGUUCGAGCGAGGGAGAGAAAGAGAGAGAGAGAGAGAGAGAGAGAGAGAGAGAGAGAGGGAAGGAAGAAAGAGAGAGAGAGCGCGCGCACCGGGCGCCUAAGCAACCCUACAAGCACCCCCGGUUUACCAUUAGGAAGCGCGAGAUUAGGUACUCCCUGGCGCUGCUGGAGUACCGAUACUAUCGCCCACACGUACACACGCCCCGCGUUCGCUCGCUCGCGUCGCACACUUCCACAUCUAAGGGUGAACCCGCGCGCCACCCUCGCGCACCCCGCGCAGACUUCAGGAAAUCCCGAAUAAAGCUCGCCCCGCCCGUGCACUUUGAUACCUAUGCUCGGGACUUCUGAGAGACAGGAUUCGAGGCUUCCCCUAUUAUGACUUCUCGGCGACGUUUCUGGACAGCAUCGAGAUAGGCGGCUUUGUCACGUGGGCGCUUGUCUCCCGUCGCAUCCCGAAGCUGUCGUUCGUUGCAUCUGUCGUUGAUCAUUUUAACUGCAUGUGCGAGUGAUUGGACAGUAAAUUAAUUGGAGAUUGUGUGACUGAUAUAAUGGCGUCAACUCUCUAAGUUAAGCACAGUGUAAGUGUAAAUUAGUAAAGCAGGGACAAGCUUUCUGACAAGGCAAGACCUGCUGACUGAUCUUUAGGCGCAGGAUCAAUUGAACAAUCAUAGGCACGUUAUCGCAAAUGUAACAUUUUAACAUUUCCACAUUUUAUCGAGUGUAAUAACAGUGAACAUUAUUAGCAUGACUGAUUUUGAUUUGCACCUAUUUUAUUCCCUUCAGUCUUUUAUGAGAAAAACGUGGUAAUGUUCAUUUUUCUGUAUUGGACCUUAAUCUGCCCAUCAAAGCGAUAGCUUUCUUAUAGUCUAUAUUAAGUAAUAACUUCUUUCUAACUUUGGCGCCUUCUGAUGAAAAUUUGAUUAGUAGCUAGUGAUUUAUCAUAAUAUUUAACUUAUGAUUAAUAAUUUAUUAUAAAUUACAUAAGCCUACAAUUGGAGGUGUUGAAAGUUGAUUGGGAUCUGAUAAUGUUUUCUUACGUAAUUUUUUGCGCUGAAUCCGAAUUCGUUUACAGAAUUGCUCUAUUACGUCAGGAUUUCGAGAUAUCCUAACCUAACCUAAAGGCAAACUAAGGCUCAA